CGCGCGCGCGCAUAAUCGCAGGCUUCUUUCCGACGAGGACUGACAGUGGCGAUUGUGAGGUCGUCGCGUGUCUGGAGUCGCCUGCAUAUAUAUGAAAACGAGACAGUAUGAUACUUAUUUCGCGGCGAGGAGCAGCACGAGGUUAUUGUUAUCCCCCGCCCCCCUCCUUUGAGGGUGGCACGCCAUUCACUUGUCACUUCGGGUCUCUACUCGAGGAAGAAUAUAAGAGGGAAAGCCGGAGAACGCGCCAGAGGAAGGUGGAACUUUGACGGUAAAGCUGUGAGCUAUACCUCGUCAGGUAGCUGACAUCGCAUUUUACAACGUAUUAACAAUUAAUUUUCUUGCUGACAAGUAUUUAUAAUUAACCAAUUUAAUUAUAAAUCAAAUUACGCCAGCUAAAUAAAUUACAUGUAAACAUAAUAUAAAUGCGAUGCGAACUACUAAUUCGGGUUUUCCAUUCUCACGCGGAAAAAUUAAAUCACGCUUGAUGGGCGUCUCUCGCGGAGAACAACAAUUUGGAGCAAGACAGAAAAGGACGAUGGGAGAUGACGAGGAGCGGGAGGAAUGAUUGGAAGCCGGAUAGUAGAACGCCGUUAGUUAGAAGGAGGCAGAGUAAAGUCCCAGCGGGGACGAAAAGGGCCUAACGAUCCCAAGCUACGAGCUUCUCCUCGCCCCAUGCAAUCUCCAUAGAAUUACCAUACGAUUAAGAGAACGCCGGCCCACGGCGCGCGUAUAGGAGCCGCCGAGAGUAGCCCUCGAGAGUCUUCCAAUUAGCCUCUCGAAAGAUCACUCUUCCUCUCUCGUCCACACCAACAAGACGUGAAUGCACCGAGAUAAUCUAAAAUCGCCGAACCAACGCGCCGAUAAAUUGUACAGAAUAUAAGCGUAGAAUGUACGCGUGUAUUUAUUAUAGUUCAUAUGACAUGCAGAAAUUAUCCAAUCGUAAUUUAAAAGAGUACGUUGUCCAAUACACACCGAGUAAGCAUAAUGUAAAGCAUAAUUUAAUUAUAUUAAUUCGCAU